GAUAUUUACUGGUUAUGUGGGGAUCUACAGUUAAGAUCUAGGCUGGAAACUGAGUGGUGGGGUGAGUGUACCCUGGCCAAAGUUAUCAUGCCCAUUCAUAUUAUUUCUGAUAAUCAUCAUGACACAUACGACCCUCCACAUACAUCAGCCAGAGUAAGGCGCGAAACCCCAGUAAAAGGCAGUUUUGACCCCCACAUUUACAUAGAUGCCAUUGGGGUGCCUAGGGGGGUACCUAAUGAAUUUAAAGCUAGAGAUGAAGUAGCUGCAGGUUUUGAAUCACUUUUUACCAUAGUCACUGCCAACAAAAACCUUAAUUGGAUUAAUUAUAUCUAUUACAACCAACAGCGCUUCAUGAACUACACCAGGGAUGCCCUCCAGGGCUUGGCCGAGCAAUUACAGGCCACAUCCCAAAUGACCUUCCAGAACAGACUGGCCUUAG